CUGGCUCUUCGGAGCAUGUGCACGCUUGUCUUGACUUUAUUCAUCCACCUGUGCACUUUUUGUAGUCUUGAAGGUUGAGAGCGGUCAACUAUCGGAUGGCUGUUAUGGCCUUUCCGGAUGUGAGGAAUUGCUGAGUGCAAAAGCAUACAGCUCUUCUCAAAACGACUUGCAAUACCUCUCCUUCAAGUACUAUGUAUUCAUAUACCACAUAGUAUGUUGUAGAAUGUGAUCAAUGGGCUUAUAUGCCUAUAAUAAUCAUAUACAACUUUCAGCAACGGAUCUCUUGGCUCUCGCAUCGAUGAAGAACGCAGCGAAAUGCGAUAAGUAAUGUGAAUUGCAGAAUUCAGUGAAUCAUCGAAUCUUUGAACGCACCUUGCGCUCCUUGGUAUUCCGAGGAGCAUGCCUGUUUGAGUGUCAUUAAAUUCUCAACCCCUCUAGCUUUUGCGAGCUGCGAUGGGGCUUGGAUGUUGGGUUUGCGGGCCUUUAUUAAUAGAGGUCGGCUCUCCUGAAAUGCAUUAGCGGAACCGUUUGCAGUCCCGUCACUAGUGUGAUAAUUAUCUACACUGUGAUGAUUGCUCUCUGACUAGUUCAGCUGCUAAUCGUCCAUUGUCGGACAAUAUUUAAUGAACUUCUUGACCUCAAAUCAGGUAGGACUACCCGCUGAACUUAAGCAUAUCAAUAA
rnacentral:rRNA from 1 species